GAAGGAAACAGUUGGAGUGACAGAGAGAAGAGACAGACAUGAAGAUUUCCACAAGGUGUCACCACUUCAUCCAUGAGUCCAGAGACCAGGACCAGAUCCAGCACCGAGUCCUCCAGGUGAACUCACAGAAACCACUGGAUCCACUCGAGGUGAAGGAGGAGGAGGAGGAGAUGAAGAUGAAGAUGAUGUCAUCAGGCGUGAAGAGGUGGAGCUGAUGAAAGAAAACAACAGAGUGAUGAAGCUGUUGAUUAAAGACACUGACAGAAAAACCUCCAGCCUGUUGAUGGAAACACAACAAACACUUUGUUCAACUGGAGACACUUUGUUUCAGCCUCCCCCUGCUACAUGUUUGACCACUAGGAGGCGCUGUGUUUUACUCUCUGGUUAUUGUUGUUCACACAUGAGGAUGUUUCCAAACACCAACAU